rnacentral:rRNA from 1 species
UACGAAGGGGGCUAGCGUUGCUCGGAAUCACUGGGCGUAAAGGGUGCGUAGGCGGGUUCUUAAGUCAGGGGUGAAAUCCUGGAGCUCAACUCCAGAACUGCCUUUGAUACUGAGUAGCUUGAGUCCGGGAGAGGUGAGUGGAACUGCGAGUGUAGAGGUGAAAUUCGUAGAUAUUCGCAAGAACACCAGUGGCGAAGGCGGCUCACUGGCCCGGUACUGACGCUGAGGUGCGAAAGCGUGGGGAGCAAACAGG